UGGGGAAUAUUGCGCAAUGGGGGCAACCCUGACGCAGCCAUGCCGCGUGAAUGAAGAAGGCCUUCGGGUUGUAAAGUUCUUUCGGUAGCGAGGAAGGCAUUUAGUUUAAUAGACUAGGUGAUUGACGUUAACUACAGAAGAAGCACCGGCUAACUCCGUGCCAGCAGCCGCGGUAAUACGGAGGGUGCGAGCAUUAAUCGGAAUAACUGGGCGUAAAGGGCACGCAGGCGGUGACUUAAGUGAGGUGUGAAAGCCCCGGGCUUAACCUGGGAAUUGCAUUUCAUACUGGGUCGCUAGAGUACUUUAGGGAGGGGUAGAAUUCCACGUGUAGCGGUGAAAUGCGUAGAGAUGUGGAGGAAUACCGAAGGCGAAGGCAGCCCCUUGGGAAUGUACUGACGCUCAUGUGCGAAAGCGUGGGGAGCAAACAGG
rnacentral:rRNA from 1 species